rnacentral:lncRNA from 10 species
CCUUGACCUUCUGGGCUCAAGCAAUGUACCCGCCGCAGCCUCACAGUAGCUGAGACCACAGGGCACGGUGGGUCACGGCUGUAAUCCCAGCACUUUGGGAGACCGAGACAGGUGGAUCACGAUGUCAAGAGAUCGAGUCCAUCCUGGCCAAAGUGGUGAAACCCAAGAGGCAGAGGUUGCAGUGGGCCGAGAUCAUAAGCCACUGCACUCCAGCCUGGCGACAGAGUGAGACUCCGUCUCCCCGACAAAAAAAAAAAAAAAAAAAAAAAAAAAAAAAAAAAAAAAAAAAAAAAAAAAAAAAAGGUCUGGCCAGGCUCAGUGGCUCACACCUGUAAUUUCAGCACUUUGGGAGACCAAGGUGAGAAGGUAACUUCAGCCCAGGACUUUAAGAUAAUGCUGGGCAAGAUGGAAAAACCCCAUGUCUACAAAAGAUAUCAAAAUUAUCCAGGUGUGGUGGUGUGUACCUGUAGUCUCAGCUAUUUGGGAAGCUGAGGUAAGAGGAUCACUUAAGCCAGGGUAGAUGAGGCUGCAAUGGGCUUUGAUGGUGCCACUGCACUCCAAGCUGCUUGACAGGCUGAGAUCCUGUCUCAAAAGAAAAAAAUGUGUCCAAAAGGUUGCCAGUAGGAUUCACAUUAAAAAAUAAUGCCUUUCCCAGAAAUGAAAAACCAGGUCCCAGAAAAAAAUUAAUUACCCGCAUAUUAAAUAAAAUAGACUCACAUUAAUACAACAUGAUGAACGUUUGAGACAAAGAUAAAUUCAUAAAAUCUGUCAGAAAAAAAAUGGCAAUAAAGGAUCAUACAGCUAAAUGACUUUACACUUCCGAAGAGCAACAUAGAAAUUCUUGAAGUCUUCCCAUUUCUGAUUGCAAUAACUGCUAAGCUAGGAACACUUACCUAUCUUAAACAAUUUUAAAUAAAUAGGCUGAUUAGAGCAAUCUUUUCUCAAGAAUCUGGUGAAUAUGCCAUUAUAUUACAACAAUAAUUAAAAUAUUACAAUGAUUAAAAUAUUAUAAAUCUCAUGUCAAUAACUUUUAUAUCUUAAAAUGAAGAAUCUGUGCUCAAAGGUUUAAUGCUGAAUACAGUUCCUGUGUUAAUGUUAUUAGGAGAAAAUAAAGCUAAAUUUAUAAACUUAUGCAAAUAAUAUAUUUAUAUGCAAAUAAUAUGCUUAUAUAUUUGUUGAGAGAUUAGUUCCUUUUUUGUGAUCACGUCUUUCAAAAAGAAUAG